rnacentral:rRNA from 1 species
UACGAAGGGGGCUAGCGUUGCUCGGAAUCACUGGGCGUAAAGGGUGCGUAGGCGGGUCUUUAAGUCAGGGGUGAAAUCCUGGAGCUCAACUCCAGAACUGCCUUUGACUACUGAGGAUCUUGAGUUCGGGAGAGGUGAGUGGAACUGCGAGUGUAGAGGUGAAAUUCGUAGAUAUUCGCAAGAACACCAGUGGCGAAGGCGGCUCACUGGCCCGAUACUGACGCUGAGGCACGGAAAGCGUGGGGAGCAAACAGG